rfam:Eimeria tenella Houghton genomic scaffold, Eth_scaff40
UCGACUGUACUCGAACGGGAUCACUUCUAUAGGCGAUCCACACGUUCACCACUACAUCGACAGACAACACCACAAGUCGUGAAGAUGAGACAGGCGCCCUGCCGAACCUUGAAGGGAGGCCCUGCCUGCAAAGGUGGCGGCUUUGAUGAUAAGGGGAAUCGGGCGGACAGCCCCAUUUCCAUCGGCGUGGGCGGGUCUGAGCGACG